rnacentral:rRNA from 1 species
AUUGAACGCUGGCGGCAUGCCUUACACAUGCAAGUCGAACGGCAGCACGGGAGCAAUCCUGGUGGCGAGUGGCGAACGGGUGAGUAAUAUAUCGGAACGUGCCCAGUCGUGGGGAUAACGUAGCGAAAGCUACGCUAAUACCGCAUACGAUCUACGGAUGAAAGCGGGGGGAUCGCAAGACCUCAUGCUCAUGGAGCGGCCGAUAUCUGAUUAGCUAGUUGGUGGGGUAAAGGCCUACCAAGGCAUCGAUCAGUAGCUGGUCUGAGAGGACGACCAGCCACACUGGAACUGAGACACGGUCCAGACUCCUACGGAGGCAGCAGUGGGGAAUUUUUGGACAAUGGGGGCAACCCUGAUCAGCAAUGCCGCGUGAGUGAAGAAGGCCUCGGUUGG